GGGGAUCUUACUAGGUCCGGACCGAUUCUAUGAUCGUCGUACUGUGGGGUGCUACGUGAUUACUGGAUGAGUGGUGCAUGGCCGUUCUUAGUUCGUGGUGUUAAUUGUCUACUUAAUUGUUAUCGGUUCUCGUAUCAUGCGAGAMYUGWUAACGAACGAGAUCGAGACCCGUGGUUGCGUGUGUUUGAAUUCGGUAUUACUACGGGGAUCGCGUAUUACUCCACGGUACGAUCGAAAGACUCGGCAAUAACAGGUCUGUGAUGCCCUCAGAUGUUCUAGGCUGCACACGUGCUACAGUGUGGUUCYGUUCAURUGUGUAUGCGUAGA
rnacentral:rRNA from 1 species